rnacentral:rRNA from 1 species
UCGAGCGGUAACAGAUCGCUGUGAUCCCUUCGGGGUGAACUUGAUGCUGACGAGCGGCGGACGGGUGAGUAACGCGUAGGAAUCUACCCAGUAGCGGGGGAUAGCCCGGGGAAACUCGGAUUAAUACCGCAUACGCCCUACGGGGGAAAGGCGGGGAUCUCUUCGGAGACCUGUCACUAUUGGAGGAGCCUGCGUUGGAUUAGCUAGUUGGUGGGGUAAAGGCCCACCAAGGCGACGAUCCAUAGCUGUUCUGAGAGGAAGAUCAGCCACACUGGAACUGAGACACGGUCCAGACUCCUACGGGAGGCAGCAGUAGGGAAUAUUGCACAAUGGGCGAAAGCCUGAUGCAGCCAUGCCGCGUGUGUGA